rnacentral:rRNA from 1 species
UUAGAGACCGGCGCACGGGUGCGUAACGCGUAUGCAAUCUACCUUUCACAGAGGGAUAGCCCAGAGAAAUUUGGAUUAAUACCUCAUAGUAUAUAUGAAUGGCAUCAUUUAUAUAUUAAAGUCACAACGGUGAAAGAUGAGCAUGCGUCCCAUUAGCUAGUUGGUAAGGUAACGGCUUACCAAGGCAACGAUGGGUAGGGGUCCUGAGAGGGAGAUCCCCCACACUGGUACUGAGACACGGACCAGACUCCUACGGGAGGCAGCAGUGAGGAAUAUUGGACAAUGGGCGCAAGCCUGAUCCAGCCAUGCCGCGUGCAGGAUGACGGUCCUAUGGAUUGUAAACUGCUUUUAUACGAGAAGAAACACUCCGACGUGUCGGAGCUUGACGGUAUCGUAAGAAUAAGGAUCGGCUAACUCCGUGCCAGCAGCCGCGGUAAUACGGAGGAUCCAAGCGUUAUCCGGAAUCAUUGGGUUUAAAGGGUCCGUAGGCGGUCAGGUAAGUCAGUGGUGAAAGCCCAUCGCUCAACGGUGGAACGGCCAUUGAUACUGUCUGACUUGAAUUAUUAGGAAGUAACUAGAAUAUGUAGUGUAGCGGUGAAAUGCUUAGAGAUUACAUGGAAUACCAAUUGCGAAGGCAGGUUACUACUAAUGGAUUGACGCUGAUGGAC